CAGCGAUGUCUGAAGUUCCCACAGUUCAGAGAUCCUGGGCUUCAGUAUGUGGGGCUUUAACAACCAGGAGUAGGACUGGAGUGGAACUCUGUGGAGGAUCAGUAGCCUAGCAGAAAGAAGAAAGGAAAACUGCUGCUGGGAAGAUGGUGGACAUCCAGACCAAGUAUGCUUCCACAAAGCAGUUCAUAAUCUUUUGAAAGAAGAAAUGAAUGGGUUCUACCAGGAGAAACUGACAAAGGAGAAGCUCCUUAUGUACUACAAGAAUGGUGUAAGCUUCAUAAUACCCAGGAAGGCCACUGAGGGCUCCAACAUGGGCAAGAAAUGCCCCUCUCACUGGUAAUGUCUCCAUCCAAGGUCAGAUUCUGUCUGGUAUUGUGACCAAAGAUGGAGAUGCAGGACCAUUGUCCUCUGGUGGGAUCAUUUCUUCUAUGUCCAAAAAUACAAUCACUUUCAGCAGUGGCACAAAACAUAUCUGUGCACCUGAUCCUGUUUCAGGGAUGUUCAGAUUGGCUACCUUCUCACCCUGGGAGAGUGUAGGCCCCUGGACAAGACAGUAUGCUUUAAUGUGCUCAAGGUCAUAAGAAGCAGUUCCAGAAGUUCUGAAGCAUGCAGGUGACUCCACAGAACAAAUUAAGUUCUUUUUCAACUUUAUAAUUAUUAUUAUAUUACCAUUAUUAUUUAAUUUUUAAAUAUAUAAUAUUAAUUAAAUAAUAAUAAUUAUUAUUUUUUAGGACUGUCAGGAGUCAGCUCAUGUAAUUCCAGAACGUCUCAAGUACAAGACAGCUCUGUUGCCUAAAAACAGAGGAAGGAGUUACUCCUAUAAUAAUUCCAUUACCAUUCCAGCCACCAUUGACUGAACCUGAGAGUUCAACCUCAGAAUCAAUUGGAGAGGAGAAAAAAACCCCACCAAGUUCAAGAACUCUUAAAAUUCUCCAGAGCCCUUCCUGUUCUCUUCACCUCCAAAUGCAGCAUUCAGGGUAAUUAAAUGGGUUGUUUGCGAAUGUUGGUCAUUCCUUACAAACCAUGGGUGUGGGACUUUUGGAGAAGCAUGCUAAUCAACAAGGCUAUACAUGGAACAAAGUGAUUUGCUCUGGAUCUCCAUAGAGAAUAGGCAUAGACUGACCAAAGAAAGAAAGUUUUGUGUUUCCCUAUUUCCUUAUUUGUAGGCAUGCAAUGCAUAUUCUCUAUGUAGUUGGUUCACUAUUCAAAUAAAUAACGACAAAACUUAAUACUCAUUA